rnacentral:lncRNA from 1 species
GGGGCCUUGUUUAGUUACCAAAGUUUGGAGGUGUCAAAUUACUGUUACAGCACUGUAGCACACUGUAGCGUUUCGUUUGUAUUUGUGAAUUAUUGUCCAAAUAUUGACUAAUUAGGCUCAAAAGAUUCGUCUCGCAAAGUACAACAAAACUGUGCAAUUAGUUUUUAAUUUUAUCUACAUUUAGUACUCUAUGCAUGUACCGCAAGUUUGAUGUGAUGAGGAAUCUUCUUUUUGCAUAGUGCUAAAGUUGGGAGUUGGGGGUGAACUAAACAAGGGCUAAACAAGGUCCUAGCGAAAGCAUGAAUAUAUAUACACUAGUCAUCAGAUCCCCAGCUCUCCGUCACCUCCGACGCGGCGACUCCAAAAAGGCUGGCAGAUGUGAUGGAGAGCCGGCAAAAGCGGCGCCGAACGGUGAGUCGCCUCACUUUCGCCCUCUUGUAUCGUAGCAAGGGGAAAGGUCGAGAGACACGUUUUCACUCUCUUAGUGUUAAAAAACUGUUCUCAAUUAGCAACCUUGUUA